rnacentral:lncRNA from 1 species
UCAAGCUUCAGCUUGCAGCAAUUAAUCAAGCUAAAAGAGGGGAUGAGUUAAAGCAAUAGGACAAGAGAAGAGUUUGGCACCUAGUAUCCCCAGGCCAACUGAAGCACCCACCUUUGGUAAAUGCAAGGAUGUGGAAACAGUCCUCAAGCUAAGUAGUCCUCAAGCUAAGUAGUCCUCCACCUUCUGAUCAUCAUCAGUAAACCCAAAUAAGAAGCCCACCAAGCG